UUUUGCUCCAUUGUUUGCAACUUCAUUACAUAAUUUAAAUUGUAUUGUCUGUGAAAUAUAUAGCUCAUCUGGUGAAUUUAUUCUAUUACUAAGAUUACUUUUUUGUGUGUCUAUUAAAAUUUUAAUAAAAUUUUCACUGGUAGAUAAGCAGAACUUUCAGAGAAUUGUUUCAUACAUGUUGUUCAUGUCGAUGAAGAUGGGAAAAAGGAAGGUAAAGGAUGGCGGGAUCUGAUCUGAGCAGUUUCCUAACAAAGAUCUGAUGAUGAUGAUUCCCAUUAUUAGCAUUUUAUGGGUAUUUCCUUCUUCUAAGUUUCCUCUCCAGAAGAAAAAGAAAACCUAUUAAGAGGAACAGCCAGGCAAUUUUUCCCUCACAACCCCUUUAUCUUCCCAUCAAAUCUUGAUGCACAUACAGGGCAAUGAGCGUCUGAAAAUAAUGGUUUGUGGCCUUGGUAACUGAAGUCAAGAAGCAAUAUAACCAUUGCCGAAUCUCAUGAUGAGAAUAAAAUAAACUUCUGUCACUACAUUUUAUCUUUUUUCCCAAUCCUUUCACACCUUCAAAUCAUUCUUCAUUUUUCAGGCUUUAGCAUUGCACUUCAUUAUUCCUUCUUUCCAAAAAUGUCACACCUAGGUCUACAGCCAGAGGAAGAGCUUUCAAUGGGCUAAACAAAAUUCUUUUUCAAAACUGCUUCAGGUGAGUUUUUGUGCUCCAUUGGUUUGGAUCUGGGAAUGUUAAAUGGCACUAAAUUCAUGACAUCAGGAGUUCCUGCCAUGGCUCAGUAGAAGCAAAUUUGACUAGCAUCCAUGAGGACACAGGUUGGAUCCCUGGCCUUACUCAGUGGGUAAAGGAUCCAAAACUGCCAUGAGCUAUGGUGUAGGUUGCAGAUGCAGCUCGGAUCCCACAUUGCUGUAGCUGCGGUGUAGGCCAGCAACUACAGCUCUGAUUCAGCCCCUAGCCUGGGAAACUCCAUAUGCUGCGGUGAGGUCAUAAAAGGACAACAACAACAAAAAAAAAGAAAUAAUAAAUUCAUGACGCCAAUCCACCAUUUUAAUCUUUAUGUUGAGAUAAAGGUGAUGUGAUACUAGCACCUCCCCCAUAUGACCCAAAAGCCCCUUCAGCUGACAUCUAAUCCUCCUUUCUAUCACCUCCUACUCCUCUCCUACUUCCUCAUGGUUAUGUUUUUCUUUAUUCAUAAGUAUUAUCACCUAUGCUAUCUUAAAUGUAGUGAAGUGAAGAGAUUUCAAAGCAUCAGGAAAAGUGGGAUACUUUUUCAUAGUAUCUCCAGCAGCCCUCAGCUGGAGAAGUAACAAGGAAGGUUAUGCUUUCAGAUCUCUUUCCCUUCUCCCUGACACCUAAACCUCCAAGGUUAGAAGACAUUCUUGAGUAUGAUAGUACUUUUUUUUUUUUUUGAAAACUGUAAGGCUUCUUCUUUUAAAAUGUAGCUGCCCCAGGCUUCUUCUCUUAAAAUGUAACUUCCCCUCUUAAGAUAGCUAUCUAUAAUGGUUUAUGUGAGUUCUACAUGCAUGUGAACUCAUUUUCUUUCCCUGACAUGUAGCUAAAACAGAGUAUUAAGGGAAGAGUAUUUGUUAUUGGUAAAAUUAUUAAGGCUAUUGUGGCUAUUUUAGAGCACUGAACAUUCUCAAGGGAAAGCACCAUUGGGUGGAAAAUCUCCAUGAGAACCAUAGAGAAAUUAUAGAGAUAAUGUUUGCAAGAAAAGAGAAAAGAGACUCAAGAAGGAGAUGAAAUGGGAGAUGAAGCUAAAGAAGCUUCUUCUAUUACCCAGGGCUACAGGUGUAUAUAAGGACAUGACAUAAUACCCCCAUGGUUAUAAAUUUAAGCUAAACUUUCUGUCCUGGGCCUUUAAAAUCCU
rnacentral:lncRNA from 1 species